UUAUUCAAUGAAAAAAACAUAUCGUAAAUUUAUUAUGUUUUAAAAAUUGAUAGACACAUAUAUAUUAUAAUAUAUACCAAUUUAGAAUUGAAAACAAAAUAAAAAUAUUCGCGCGCUUGCACGGAUCGAGAUCUAGUUGCUUAUUAAAACUAGAAAAAGAUAAUACUUUAUACAAUAAUCCCUUUGUAUAUUUUUUUCAAAAAAAAAAAAAUCCCUUCGUAUAUAUAUGGAUUUACCUUUUUCUUACAGUUAUUAACUAAACACGAAAUAACCCGACAUAACCAUAGUAAUUUUGGCUUUGUAUGUUGUAUUGUUCCAUAGAAGUUAGAAUAAUGUAACUGGAUUUGUAUGUUGUGUUAUUUCAUGACAAAACUCGAAUUGGAUUACACCGGAUGUUAAGAUGAAUCGCGAUUGACACAAAUAUAUAUAUUUUCAAUUGUUUUGUUAUAUUCUAAAUCAAGCCCACUUUUUAUUGAUCGGAAGAUCCGUGGUUUUUGAUAAAUGCAACAUGAAUUGAAUUCUCUAUCGUAUGUUCUUCCACUAUCAACUACUGCAUAUGUUGAUUGUUUUAUAUGGUUUGUCUCUUUGAUCAAAGAGUUGGUUAUAUUUAAUUAACUAUAUACCGUAAUUCCUUCGUAUAUGUUUUUACAUAUUUAUGUUCUUUUCUAAAACUUUUUUUUCUUUUCUAAAACUUUGAUAAGUGACAUUUGUUUUUGGUUAGGACAAUAGUCAAACAGGAUGAUACGUACAUAUCUAUAUUAAUAAAGUUGAGCAGAAAUUCUCCUCCUUGAGCCACCUCAGCAGACCUUAUUCCAUUUCAUGACACGUGGCGGUCAUUACACAAGCUUCAAAUCCGUAAUGCAAUGGGCGAUGGAGCACUGGGCCUUUGUUAUCUCAUUGGGCCCUUACUUCUCUUACCAGUGUGGCCCGCCUGGAUUUUAGGGUUAUGUUGAUGCUAAAGCUCUUUCCGUGCGUAGCUGUGGUCGCGUUUACCAUGGUUCCCGAUCAAACUUUUUUUUUUUUUGCUAACAAAAGUAAUUGCUUCCCGAAAGUAUAGCCACUUUCCAUGUGUUGUUUAAGUUUUCUAUAUGAUUCAUGCUUUGGACUUUUUGGGUUUUUUCUUUCAAAACUUUUUUUUUUCCAGUUUCACAUCUUGAGCUCCAGAGUCUGCAACCAUGACUCCUCACAUCCCACUGCCUCUGGCGGUCUUCUUUGUAACGCACCAGUAAUAGUCACCCGGAAACAUUAAUUUCUUUGUAACACAUCGAAUUAACUCCCCAUAUCAUCUUCCAAUGUAACCGAUUGAAACUCCACCUAUAAAUGGCUUCGUUGCUUGGGAUGAAGAGUCACACCGAAACGAAAUCCCAAAUAUCUCUCUCUAUCAAGCAGCAAAUCCAUCAAUGGAGAAUUUGUUUACUCUGCUUGGUGAGGUCAGUGUUAUCAAUAGCACAAUCAAUGAUAGGACACGCUGAACACUGCGUGUUAUGCUACGUCUAGAAAGGGGUGAAUGUGUGUGUCAGUCUGUUGGUUUAGCUUAUUCGCAUCUUAUAACAAACUUGAAAGCUACGGCUCUGAGCCCAAAGUUUUCUUGGUCAAUAGCAUCAAUGCCUAAGUUUUUGGAGGCCGCCUAUUUCUCGACGGGAUAUCUAGAACCCACAUCUACUUUGUCUCUGAGACAGCUGCCGGAAAAAAGAACUCUUUGAAAAUUUGUUUGGGGAUGACACUAGGCUCCUUUUCACCCAAGCUGCGUCAUGCCCAGAAAAUAUAACCUCUCACCGUAACUGAGCUUAACCAAUAUGGUCUCACAUCUGAACCUCAGACAAAGAAAGGAUGUUGUUAUAUUGGAUGCUAAUGUUCAAAGAACUUCCAGCAUGCAUGAGAUAUUUUCCUUUACAUGCAUUGGAUUUGAUAAGCCGAACGUCGUGGGUGUCCUGAGGUAACGGUCCUUAAGCUACGCUAUCCUUGGUAUCGUGUGGAGCUGUCUGUUUCAGACCCGACUGAUGAUACUGUCUUUGUGGCUUUUGAUAUGGAGAUGACAUUCAGGCAGCUGAAACUGCACAGCUUUUGGGGGUAGGUGUGAAUGCUCGAGUGGACAGCGAGCUCCCCAGUCAAGAAAGUGAUGUCUUUCUUUUCGUUUUAAUACGUACGAAAGCCACCAAUAUGGCAAUAUGAUAUUGUAUACCAAUCAUACUUACUACGUACAAUUCUUAUAAGAAACAUCCGUAUGAUGUUACUUUAUUUUUCAUAUUUAAACUUUUAAAAUCUUUAAUUUUCAGAUUUCAACUUUUAAAAUUAAAAAAAAAUCAAGAUAUCGGCAAAAACUAAUGUGAUCAGUGUCUUCCACUCUUAACAUGCAGCUUAUAUGAAUCAGUGGUAUAACGCAUCUUCGGCUUAGUUCAUUUAACAAUCUAUGCAAAAGUUAGAUUACUGAACAAAUGCUGUAUCAUUUGCGAGCACUGCUAAUUGCAUAAGCAAACAAAAAAGUUCAUAUAUUUCAUUUGAUACGUGAUGUUUCACUUCAAGUUCUUACAAAUAAAACAUCAGCUCACAGUUAUUUUUCAGAACUUCAUCAAUAAUAAUCUUUUGGGGGUUUAUGUUUGCUACAAUAUAUUAAAAACAUACACUCCUCUACGCAGGAUGUUUAGGUUUUUCGAAUCUCAUUUUUCUCAAUUAAUUAUAUCAGAUGAUAAAAACGUGCCCACGAAACACUAAUACAAUCAAAAUUUUAACUUCAUAUAAACAUCAAGGAAAGAACUACUACUUAAAAAAUAAAACACACCCACACUAUUUACCAUACACUCGCUAACGUAUAACAAAUACAACUCAUACAUUUCAAAUAAACCAAGCAAUAAAAAAAAAACAACUUAUGCAUAGGGCUGGGCAAAAAACCCGGAUCCGAAGAACCAAACCGAAUCCGAUCCGAAAAAGUAGUACCGAACCCGAACCGAAAUUGAUUAAAUAUCCGAAUGGAUUCAAAAUUUUGGUAUCUAAAAAACCGAAACCGAACCCGAUCCGAACCAAAGUAUCUCGGGUACCCGAAUGUAACCGAAAUAGAUUCAUAUACCUAAGUAUAUUACUUUUUUUAGAUUUAAUGUAUA